rnacentral:rRNA from 1 species
AUUGAACGCUGGCGGCAGGCCUAACACAUGCAAGUCGAACGAGUGGCGGACGGGUGAGUAAUGUCUGGGCAACUGCCUGCUGGAGGGGGAUAACUACUGGAAACGGUAGCUAAUACCGCAUACCAUCGGAUGUGCCCAGAUGGGAUUAGCUCGUAGGUGGGGUAACGGCGCACCUAGGCGCCGAUCCCUAGCUGGUCUGAGAGGAUGACCAGCAACACUGGAACUGAGACACGGUCCAGACUCCGACGUGAGGCAGCGUUGGGGAAUAUUGCACAAUGGGCGCAAGCCUGAUGCAGCCAUGCCGCGUGUAUGAAGAAGGCCUUCGGGUUGUAAAGUACUUUCAGCGGGGAGGCGUUACCCGCAGAAGAAGCACCGGCUAACUCCGUGCCAGCAGCCGCGGUAAUUC